UUCAGUGGUAGAAUUCUCGCCUG
rnacentral:piRNA from 3 species